AAUUUCAGCAAACUAUCAAAACCCUCGCUCGCUCUGCUCAGCCCUCAACAAUGGCCAGUGCUUCGUUUAUCUCACUGUCGGCAUCGUUUCUUCCGUAUCAAUGGAAAGAUGGCAAAGUAGCUGAGGUGCCUACUUUGAGGGGUUGUCUCUGCGCUGUACGUUCUCGGCCCAAGAGGAAAUCUUCGAGCUCGUCAUCCUCUCCGCCCGGCGUAACCUCUGCGCCAAAGAAGGCUCCGGCGGCGAACGAGCCUCCUUCGCCGACCAAGAAGCGGCACUGGAAAGAAGGGGAGUUCCCGGGGGUCUCGGAGAGUUCAAUUGCGGGAUCCUCUCGGACGCCUAUUAAAAACGUAAAAAAGAAGAUCGACGACCGGGCGGCGGCUAAGGCUUGGGCUUGCACGGUUACGGAGGCUCUUUCCGAUAGGAUCCAGAAGAAGCAGUGGCAGGAGGCACUUGAGGUAUUCGAGAUGUUAAGAGCUCAAACCUUUUAUCGCCCAAAAGAAGGAACUUUUAUGAAACUCUUAGUUCUUCUUGGAAAAUCAGGUCAAGCUGUCCGUGCGGGUGAACUAUUUGAGACCAUGGUGGAAGAAGGAAUUGAACCUACUUCGGCCUUGUACACUGCUUUGCUAGCAGCCUAUUGUCGAUGCAACAUUCUCGAUAAAGCUUUUUCAAUCCUCACUAAAAUGAAAACCUUACCUCUUUGCCAGCCAGAUGUCUUCACAUAUAGUACACUCCUGAAAGCUUGUGUCGAAGCAUCCAGAUUUGAGCUGAUUGAUACCUUGUAUCAGGACAUGCGUGAACGUAUGGUAGUUCCUAACACAGUGACCCAGAAUAUUGUCCUCGGAGGUUAUGGGAAAGCUGGAAAAUUCAAUGAGAUGGAGAAAGUUCUUACUGCUAUGCUAGAGAGUGAUACAUGCAAGCCAGAUGUGUGGACCAUGAAUAUUAUUUUGGGUUUAUUUAGCACGAAGGGUGAAAUAGAUAUGAUGGAGAAAUGGUAUGAAAAGUUUCGCAGCAUUGGCAUUGAGCCCGAAACACGAACAUUUAACAUUCUGAUCAGUGCCUAUGGAAGGAAAAGGAUGUAUGAUAAAAUGACUUCGGUUAUGGAAUACAUGCGGAAACUGGCAUUUCCAUGGACCACCUCAACUUAUAACAACAUCAUUGAAGUCUUUGCUUCUGUUGGUGAUGCCAAAAGUAUGGAAUAUGCUUUCGAUCAAAUGCGGGCAGAGGGGAUGAAAGCAGAUACUAACACAUUUCGCUACCUGAUCACUGGCUAUGGCAAUUCAGGUCUCUUUCAUAAGGUGGUAAGUUGCAUUAAGCUGGCUGAGAGGUUUGAGAUCCCACACAAUACCUCUUUUUAUAAUGCAGUGAUAUAUGCAUGUUCAAAAGCUGGGGAUCUGACGGAAAUGGAGAGGGUUUUCAAGUAUAUGAAGGAAAGACAUUAUAUGCCAGAUUCAACUACAUAUUCAAUUUUGGUUGAGACAUAUAGAAAAGAAGGAAUGAAUGACAAGAUAUAUAAUCUCCAGCAAGAGGAAGGAAGGAGCUUUGGAAUUAAAAUUUUUGCUGAAUGAGUGGCUAAUGCUAGAGAACAUGAAGAUAAGAGAAGCAAUUUUACUAUCCCAAAAGAAAUGAAAAUUCUUGAGCAUUUAUAUGUGGUGGCCAGUUAAUGAUGAAAUCUUUUAGGGGAAUUCUCUUACCUGACUUACUCCUGAAAUUGUUUUGUUUUUCAUUGUUCUAUUUUUUGGACGGCAGGGAAAAAAAAGUUUUAGUCAAGCUCACUGCUUUUUCAAACGAUUAUCACCAUUUGAUUGUAAAGGGCGGUGAAUCAAAUGUGAAGGGCUGUGGCAAGUCAUUGGGUUAUCAAUAACUUGAUUGCUCUGGCCGUGGAAGAGGGCUACUGAAGUUGACGGAUGAAGGAAGAGAACAGUGCAGAAAAUAAAAGAAAAAAAGGCCCCGGAGAUUGAAGAAUACAUGCUGCUUAUAAUUGAUUGGAAUUGGCAUCCAUCAUCCUCAUACCGAGGACUUUCAGAAGACUAGAAUGAUGAAAGUUUGAGAAUGCCACUAACAUCUUUCAGGAUGCUAACUUCAGCCUCUCUGGAGUUGAUUCGACAGCCUCUGACUUCAUAUGCCUGAUCAUCAAAAAAAAAA